rnacentral:tRNA from 1 species
GGGGAAGUGGCUCAGUGGUAGAGCGCUUGCCUUGAAUGCAUGAGGUCCUGGGUUCGAUUCCUCAGUACCACA